rnacentral:rRNA from 1 species
AGAGUUUGAUCCUGGCUCAGGAUGAACGCUAGCGGCAGGCCUAACACAUGCAAGUCGAGGGGCAGCACGGGGUAGCAAUACUCUGGUGGCGACCGGCGCACGGGUGCGUAACGCGUAUGCAACCUACCCAUAACAGGGGGAUAACACUGAGAAAUUGGUACUAAUAUCCCAUAACAUCCGGAACGGCAUCGUUCUGGGUUGAAAACUCCGGUGGUUAUGGAUGGGCAUGCGUUGUAUUAGCUAGUUGGUGAGGUAACGGCUCACCAAGGCAACGAUACAUAGGGGGACUGAGAGGUUAACCCCCCACAUUGGUACUGAGACACGGACCAAACUCCUACGGGAGGCAGCAGUGAGGAAUAUUGGUCAAUGGACGCAAGUCUGAACCAGCCAUGCCGCGUGCAGGAAGACGGCUCUAUGAGUUGUAAACUGCUUUUGUACGAGGGUAAACCCGGAUACGUGUAUCCGGCUGAAAGUAUCGUACGAAUAAGGAUCGGCUAACUCCGUGCCAGCAGCCGCGGUAAUACGGAGGAUUCAAGCGUUAUCCGGAUUUAUUGGGUUUAAAGGGUGCGUAGGCGGUUUGAUAAGUUAGAGGUGAAAUACCGGUGCUUAACACCGGGACUGCCUCUAAUACUGUUGAACUAGAGAGUAGUUGCGGUAGGCGGAAUGUAUGGUGUAGCGGUGAAAUGCUUAGAGAUCAUACAGAACACCGAUUGCGAAGGCAGCUUACCAAACUAUAUCUGACGUUGAGGCACGAAAGCGUGGGGAGCAAACAGGAUUAGAUACCCUGGUAGUCCACGCAGUAAACGAUGAUAACUCGCUGUCGGCGAUACACAGUCGGCGGCUAAGCGAAAGCGAUAAGUUAUCCACCUGGGGAGUACGUUCGCAAGAAUGAAACUCAAAGGAAUUGACGGGGGCCCGCACAAGCGGAGGAACAUGUG